UUUCCCUCAGGAUAGCUGGCACUCGCUUGAGCGAGUCUCAUCUGGUAAAGCGAAUGAUUAGAGGCCUUGGGGCCGAAACGACCUCAACCUAUUCUCAAACUUUAAAUGGGUGAGAUCUCUGGCUUGCUUGAACGUUGAAGCCACGAGAGCAAUCGUAAUAAUGGAUCAGAGUGCCAAGUGGGCCAAUUUUGGUAAGCAGAACUGGCGCUGUGGGA
rnacentral:rRNA from 1 species